ensembl:lncRNA
CAAAAUCUUUGUCACCAAUCAGGAUUCCAGAACCACUCUUUGAGUUUGCUCUGUUACUGAAGUCUCAUUGAACUCUGUGCAUGAUAAGAAGAGCAGUAAAGGGAGACUGCAAAGUCCGUGCCCUCCUUUGAGAGGCCAAAGAAGGAGGCACAUCAAGCAGUGCUGUGUUUUGGGAAAUACUGAUCAACUGGGACCCAGAAACAGGCAACGAAAAGACUUCACUGGCUCCAAAUGGCAAAUUCCCUUUCUCUGAAAGGGCAAAAUGAAAGGAGACAGGCACGUGAAGACCUGCAGUGCUAUCGAUAACUUGGCCCCCAGCCUUCACCACAUGCCCAGCUCUGCCAGUGUGGAGACCUGCUUUGAUUGACUGACUUCCUAGAGAAGAGCAUCAAGCCAGGACUUCUGCAAAAGACAGGCACAGUUCUUCCCCUCCCUUUAGGGGUAGGAGCUGGAUUAGAGUGGGGAAGAAUGGGAACAGCAGAAAUCAUCCUCGCAGGAGAAGGAGGGAACUGACAGAGCCUUGUAUCUCAGGCCACAUGAUUAAGAUCAGAGUCAAGAACACAACUGUGCAGAUCGCAACCACUGGGACCAUUGCUGUGCACUGAGAUAACCAAAAAAGAGCUUGAAGAGAUUUUUGACUGAAAACAGGGAUUUAAAAGAAAAGAGUGGAUGCCCUUAAACACUUUUUCCCUGAAGGACUCUAAAUGUUGUGGUGAUUGCUAUUUGACCUGACUGGCACUGUCUGAAUGAGAAGGGGUGGAAAUGAUGUUUGGAGCUGUCAAUAAGGAUUCUGAUUGAAAUACUGCAUGCCUCAAAGAAGCAAGGAGUGGAAGGCAAGUAGCUUUUGGCUUCAGUCUUGAACGGUUAAAAGGAAAAGAGUGCCAUGUAAUCAGAACUGAAAUUUCAUUAAAGGCAUAGAACAGAUUGUGUGGCUCUCAUUUACACCUGCACACAUUUGGAUUUGGUCCAUGAAGCCCAACUAACUGGUGGAGCUGAGCCUGGCUUCUUAUGCAUGCAUGGUCCCUGGCUCUGGCAGCAGUGGCGGGUGAGCUGCUAUCAGGAAAUGGGGCAUGUGUUUCUGUCCUCAGAUCUGUGUGCUAAGUGCUAGGCCUGGCCUGACAGAUGUUAAAGUGCCUCUGAGUAAGCAGGGAAAUUAUAUACAAAAGUUUCCUAUUACGG